GUUUAGUUUCCCAGUCUCCUCGGGUAAACUCUUUCAUUUACCAAGGCUGUUUUCUUGAGGAAGUGAGCAAGCAAAAGAGUGACUUCUGUAGGGGGCAAGUCAAACUCUUAUUUUUCAAGCUAGGUUCCUGACCAGUAAAGGACGGAUGUUAAAGUUAUUUUAUUCCUAGAAGAAUAAGGAAUAUUACAGUAUCUAAGAAAAAGAAGAAAGAUAAGAAGUGGAAAGUUUUUGCCUAUACAAGUAACUUCGUACAAAGGAAAUGGAAUUAUAAUAUCGAAAAUGGGUAUUUAACCUUUGGUUCGUAUAUAGGCAUUGGUUAGCCUUUCUUCUCAUGAGCCUUGAUUGUAGUGAACGGCUUAUACAGAUGGAUGUGGUGGGACUUGCUUCGUUCGUUCCUCGCUUUCUAUCUCAUAGAAGUUCCAUUCCGAAGAUG
rnacentral:misc_RNA from 1 species